CGUCUUCAUCCCGCUUUGCAGGCAGAAUUAACUAACUGAAGAAAACUGAUAAAAAUAAUUCCACGUUCGCGAAAAUUUACCACCGGCGGCGCCGAAAUUGACAGCUGGAGUGGCACUAUGGAAAAUGGCAUCAGAAAAUUCUCUUCCUGGCCAAACCUUUCCUACAGGACAUCCUUUUCGUAUGGCUGGAUGUGUGGAGUGCGAAGCCGCUUCCGGCGCUGGUCAAACUUGCCCUAAGUGUUGUCAUUAUUACGAUCAUGUUACUUCCGAUUGCUUACGCGCUGUGUGGGAUUUUGGUUUACCUUGGAUUUUGGCAGCAUCAGAUCGAUAGCUUGUACCCUACUGUGUUUCCCGUGAAAUUGCAUUCACUCUAUUGGAUGCGGCAGAUAUGCAAAAGGACCGUAUACUCCGACGCACAAGUGGAGUUUUUCCAAAGGAAAGUCCAUGGGUUUAUGUUGAUCACUGCUGGGAUGGUAGAUUAUAUGAGGCUGUUAUUUGAAAUAGUAUAGCGCAAUGCGUACACAUCCAGUGA